rnacentral:rRNA from 1 species
UACGUAGGCAGCGAGCGUUGUUCGGAAUUACUGGGCGUAAAGAGUGUGUAGGCGGUGCUCUAAGUCCGGUGUGAAAUCUCCCGGCUUAACUGGGAGGGUGCGCCGGAAACUGGAGUGCUCGAGCGUGGGAGAGGAAAGCGGAAUUCCUGGUGUAGCGGUGAAAUGCGUAGAUAUCAGGAGGAACACCUGCGGUGUAGACGGCUUUCUGGACCAUUGCUGACGCUGAGACACGAAAGCGUGGGUAGCAAACAGG